GCCUAGCCCCGAUUGAAGCAAUUGUUUGAGCUCCUUUUUUUGAUUUUUUCUUCAAAAAAAGAGCGAGUGCGGAAAGCGGGAAAUUGC
rfam:Tenacibaculum dicentrarchi strain AY7486TD, complete genome.